rnacentral:rRNA from 1 species
GACAGAGGAGGCAAGCGUUAUCCGGAAUUAUUGGGCGUAAAGCGUCCGUCGGAGGUUUGGCAAGUCUGGGGUUAAAGCCCGGAGCCUAACUCCGGAUCGGCCCUGGAAACUGCCAGACUAGAGUAAGGUAGGGGUUGCGGGAAUUCCCGGUGUAGCGGUGAAAUGCGUAGAUAUCGGGAAGAACACCAGUGGCGAAAGCGCGCAACUAGGCCAUUACUGACACUGAGGGACGAAAGCUAGGGGAGCGAAUGGG